rfam:Botryotinia fuckeliana BcDW1 unplaced genomic scaffold Scaffold_174, whole genome shotgun sequence.
CCUUCUAUGGUGUAAUGGUUAGCACACUAGAUUUUGAUUCUGGAGAUAUUGGUUCGAUUCCUAUUAGAAGGU